rnacentral:rRNA from 1 species
CAAUGGGCGAAAGCCUGACGGAGCAACGCCGCGUGAGGGAUGAAGGCCUCUGGGCUGUAAACCUCUUUUAUCAAGGAAGAAGAUCUGACGGUACUUGAUGAAUAAGCCACGGCUAAUUCCGUGCCAGCAGCCGCGGUAAUACGGGAGUGGCAAGCGUUAUCCGGAAUUAUUGGGCGUAAAGCGUCCGCAGGCGGCCCUUCAAGUCUGCUGUUAAAAAGUGGAGCUUAACUCCAUCAUGGCAGUGGAAACUGUUGGGCUUGAGUGUGGUAGGGGCAGAGGGAAUUCCCGGUGUAGCGGUGAAAUGCGUAGAUAUCGGGAAGAACACCAGUGGCGAAGGCGCUCUGCUGGGCCAUCACUGACGCUCAUGGACGAAAGCCAGGGGAGCGAAAGGGAUUAGAUACCCCAGUAGUCA